GCCCGUGUAGCUCAGCCGGUAGAGCAUUGUACUUAUGAGGCUAACUGACAACUGUGAUAUGCAAGGGUCCCGAGUUCGAUUCUCGGCGUGGGCA